rnacentral:lncRNA from 1 species
UCUGGAAGUCUGUGUUCCAUGCAGCAGAAAGGAGGGUGUGUGUGGCUGAGGACAUUGGUCAGGGUACCAGCUGCCUUGUCCUCUCUCAGAGCUCUCUGGAGAGGAGGUUCUUCUCAGCAUAUGCCUUUACACAGCUAUGGCAAGUCCCCAUCACUGCUAGGCCAUGGCUUGGGACCCUGCAGGUGGGGCCUGGGUCAGUGGUGCCCCAUGAAACACGUGCAGGUGGCUGGCAUUUCACUAUAGUACCGCCAUCAGCAAAGACCCAAAAGAGGGAGCAACUGGCUUUUGGGGGUAUUGUCUUAGUUAGGGUUUUAUUACUGUGAAGAGACACCAUGACCAAGGCAACCCUGAUAAAUGAAAACAUUUAACUGGGGCUGGCUUACAGGUUCAGAGGUUCAGUCCGUUAUCAUCAGGGUGGGAAGCCUGGCAGUGUUCAGGAAGACCUGAUGCUAGAGAAGGAACUAAGGGUUCUACAUCUUGAUCAGCAGGCAGCAGAAGGAGACUGUGUGCCACACUGAGCAGAGCUUGAGCAGAGCAGACCUCAAAGCCCGCCCCCACAGUGACACACUUCCUCCCACAAAGUCACACCUCCUAAUAGUGCCACUCCCUGUAGGCCAAGUAUUCAAACACAUGAGUCGUUGGGGGCCAUACUUAUUCAAGCCACCAUAGAUAUUCUCUUGAAAAAAAAAAGAGAAGAGCUAACACAGUUGUCUCUCACCCUGCCCUGGGUUUACAUGGCACAGAGACACAGGGAGAAACACUUGCUUGUCCCCCCUGUUUAUUUUCCUUUUCUACCCUGGCACAUCAUGAGUGACAGCUAAGCACCAGUCACCCUGACUGCCGAGGUCUCAUUCUCUCUGCCAGGUCCAGGAGAUCUGGAGAAGGGGCUCGCCAGGGAUGGUAGCAGCACAGGAGGCCUGUCCUAGCCUGGGUCCCAGUUGGCUUCGGGGAAAGCACAACUGACUUUGAGCCCCAUGUAUCUAGAAUGUUCUCUCUCACCUCGCUUGUGAGAGCGGGCUCUUGCAGCCUCGCCCUUCCCAACACAUAACGUAAGCAACUUGGCUCCUCCACCUGACUACUGGGAAACCCAGAACACAGCAGGAAUGUCCCAGGGUAGGUUCCAAGGGACCUGGUCUCUUGCCUUUGCCUUUUUGAGCACUUGGUGUUAAGAGAGCUUCUCACCACAGCCUUUCUGAGGCCCACGGUGAUGCUGUCAUGGGAGUCGAUGACAUGUCACCGCUGCUCAGUGAGCAGAUGAUGGCCAAGCUGAGGCUCUCUCCACAGGCAUUCGGCCAUGCCAGGUCCCCUGGGAGGACCCAAGAAAUGUCUGCCCUCAGACAUUGCCACUGCUCUGAUAAACUGAGGGUGUAUGGAAGUGGAGAGCUGAAGGAGGCUGCUGGAAGCUCCCACGGUUCUGCCUUGUCUACGGCCCAGUGUCUAUCACUCAGGGCCCAGCCAGGAGAGCAAAACUUGUAUUUAACUAAAGUAAGAAUAGCAGGAGCGGAGAGCACAGGUCAGAUGCACAUACUGACAAGGCCAUGAAACUACGGGCCAGAGCCACUUCGAAGGAGCCAAAGCCAUGAGGAGUCAGAGAGUGGGGAGAAAGAACUUGGCCUCUCCCUCCCACCCUCUGGAUUUCCGUGGGUGCUUCCCACCAGCUGGCUCCAGCCAGAAGCCAGCUACCCUGGGAACCUGUGGGCUCAGCAAGCAGCAGGGGGAGAGGAAGAGAGGGCCAAGGGAGAGCAGCCCUGGGGCAGGGGUACCCCUGUUGCUCUGUCUUCAGAGAAUGGCAGUUCCUCUGCAAUGCUAAGAUCUUGGGGAAGGAAGCAGCGGAGUGGCCUGCUUGGGCUUGUAGGUUGUUUUCAUUCUUCUGAGGAGGGAGAGCUUUACCAGGAGGGAAAGCCUUUCUGCACAGUUGACCCUGCUCUCCUUUGGAGGAAUUGGCCCACUAAAGUACCUUGCCUUGUGCUCCCCUCUAGAAAGCCAUGUCCUGGUUUCUGUGUACACCCCUGCCUGUUCCUCUCCUCCCAGUUUCUGGUCCCCCCCCCCCCCCCGCCACGAGCACGAACCAGAGCUGGCCUCAGUGCUCUUGGGAAAGCUCUCCCCCACGCCGUGCCAGUGUGGCCUGUCUGUCCGUAGGAGAGGCCAUCUAUUUGUCAGUUUGUAUUGUGUUUCCAAUAAAUUUCUGGAAUUC